rnacentral:rRNA from 1 species
AAGGGUUCCUGUCCAACGUUAAUCGGGGCAGGGUGAGUCGACCCCUAAGGCGAGGCCGAAAGGCGUAGUCGAUGGGAAACAGGUUAAUAUUCCUGUACUUGGUGUUACUGCGAAGGGGGGACGGAGAAGGCUAUGUUGGCCGGGCGACGGUUGUCCCGGUUUAAGCGUGUAGGCUGGUUUUCCAGGCAAAUCCGGAAAAUCAAGGCUGAGGCGUGAUGACGAGGCACUACGGUGCUGAAGCAACAAAUGCCCUGCUUCCAGGAAAAGCCUCUAAGCAUCAGGUAACAUCAAAUCGUACCCCAAACCGACACAGGUGGUCAGGUAGAGAAUACCAAGGCGCUUGAGAGAACUCGGGUGAAGGAACUAGGCAAAAUGGUGCCGUAACUUCGGGAGAAGG